AUAAAUUCUCAGCCUUUUGGCUAAGAUCAAGUGUAGUAAAAGAUACAUAAAUAGUUCAUUAAAAAUUUAUGUUUACUUAGGAAAUAUUUAUAUAUGUGUCUAAGCUCCAACUAUUUGGAGCAAACACU
rnacentral:snRNA from 1 species